ensembl:misc_RNA Metazoa_SRP Metazoan signal recognition particle RNA
GCCAGGUGUGGUGGCACAUGCCUAUAGUCCUAACUACUCAGGAGGCUGCAGCAGGAGAACUGCUUGAGCCCAGGAGUUCUGGGCUAUAGUGUGCCAUGCCAAUCAGGUGUCCACAAAAAGCUCAGCAUCAGUAUCCUGGGAGUGGAGGACCACUAGAUUGUCUAGGGAGGAAUGAACCAGCCCAGGCUGGAAAUGGAACAGGUUAAAACUUCCAUGCUAGGCCAGGUGCGGUGGCUCGCCCCUGUAAUCUAGCACUUUGGGAGGCUGUCGUGGGAGGAUCCCUUGAGCCUAGGCGUUCGAGAUGAGCCUGAGCAACAUAGGGAGACCCUGUCUCUA